UGGGGAAUUUUGGACAAUGGGCGCAAGCCUGAUCCAGCCAUGCCUCGUGCAGGAUGAAGGCCUUCGGGUUGUAAACUGCUUUUGUACGGAACGAAAAGCUUCUGGUUAAUACCUGUGAGUCAUGACGGUACCGUAAUAAUAAGCACCUGCUAACUACGUGCCAGCAGCCGCGGUAAUACGUAGGCUGCGAGCGUUAAUCGUAAUUACUGGGCGUAAAGCGUGCGCAGGCGGUUAUGUAAGACAGAGGUGAAAUCCCCGGGCUCAACCUGGGAACUGCCUUUGUGACUGCAUGGCUAGAGUGCGGCAGAGGGGGAUGGAAUUCCGCGUGUAGCAGUGAAAUGCGUAGAUAUGCGGAGGAACACCGAUGGCGAAGGCAAUCCCCUGGGCCUGCACUGACGCUAAUGCACGAAAGCGUGGGGAGCAAACA
rnacentral:rRNA from 1 species